rnacentral:tRNA from 1 species
UAGGGAGUGGUGUAAUAGGAAACACGGAGAGUUUUGAUCUCUCAAAUAUAGGUUCGAGUCCUAUUUUUCUAG